rnacentral:tRNA from 1 species
GGUGGCUCAGUGGUAGAGCACUUGCCUUGUAUGCAUGAGGCCCGGGGUUCAAUUCUUCAGCACCA